rnacentral:rRNA from 1 species
UACAGAGGUUCCGAGCGUUGUUCGGAUUCAUUGGGCGUAAAGGGCGCGUAGGCGGUCUUCUAAGUUUGAUGUGAAAUCCCGGGGCUCAACCUUGGAAUUGCAUUGAAUACUGGAGGACUAGAGUACCGGAGAGGAAACUGGAAUUUACGGUGUAGCAGUGAAAUGCGUAGAGAUCGUAAGGAAGACCAGUGGCGAAGGCGAGUUUCUGGACGGUAACUGACGCUGAGGCACGAAGGCCAGGGGAGCAAACGGG